UUUCACUUCCUCUCUCCGUUCCCCUCCCAUACAACUCCUGCCUCCCAGAUGUUCUCUACGAUUAUACGGAUAUCUCCGCAGUUCCUCCCCUGCAGUGUUACGGCGGUAAAAGCUCCGCACUCCCCGCACUAAUCCAACAGUUCCCCCCCGCUCCGUUCCCGCACUUGGUACGGUCCGAACUGCCUCGCACGAAAGGGCAGCAACGCACAGAGUCCGGUGUCUCGCUCUGAUUGGCCCGCCCGCGCGGAGCUCAGCCUAUCAGAAAUGCCCUCGCUUUCCCUCUUGCUUUUGAUUGGUUGUCACCACCCUCACGUCCCACCUUCACACGUUUGACAGACAGCAAAGCGUGAGGCGGAGGGGUAGAGCAGGUGGCUUCACUUUUCCGCGCUUCUGAUUGGUCGCCGAGGCGGGCAAGAGGUCAAUAGAAGGUGGUGCUCACUGAGGGGGCGGGGCUAACUAUCGUCCCGCCCACCGCGCUGAGGAGAGGGCGGGGGGUGGAAAAAGGCGGGAAGGGCGGCUGGGAGUUUCUGUGUGGCUCUGAGGAAAAUUGGCUUUUUUCCUCCGUUUUCUGAGGGAAAAAAUGGGUCGUCACGAGCUCCUGCACCCAACGGAUGGCAUCAAUCAGGGCCCUUUGGAUCCUUAUGAGAUUUAAGUGUCUGAAAGCAGAUUUUAUCCCUUUGGAAGCACAGAUCUCAGCUCCGCCUUCACAGCACUUUGGAUCCUUUCACUUUUUG